CUUACUGACGAGCAUUUCCAAUCAUACAGCAGCAAAAUGAUCUCAAAGGCUCCCCUCCUCUGCCUGCUGCUUUUCUGGAUUCAGGGUUCCAGUGGGCAGACUGUGAUGACUCAGACGCCAGAAUCCCUGGCAGUGUCUCCUGGAGACACAGUCACUAUCCGCUGCAAAGCCAGUUCAAGCAUUGGUGCUGCUAUAGCCUGGUACCAACAGAAAUCAGGACAAGCACCGAAGCUGCUUGUCUAUGCUGCUUCCAGCCGACCCUCUGGGGUCCCAGACCGGUUCAGUGGCAGUGGGUCUGGCACCGACUUCACAUUCACCAUCAGCCGGGUUGAAAGUGAUGACGCUGGAGAUUAUUACUGCCAGCAGUAUACUAACUUCCCUCUCACAGUGAUACAGACCAGUACAAAAACCUUCCUGCUCUAUGAAGCAUAAUGUCUAGUAGACAGUAGUACACACAAGUUUUAGUUUCCAAAUGUAUUGCUAUCCUGGGAGAUUAGUUAUGCAAUUAAAUUUUGUUAAAGCACAAGCUGAAGAAUAGAGGGUGAUCAGGAUUUCACUACAAAGCAUAUUCCAUCUUUGAUUAAGUCCAGAAUUAACUGUGAAUUUAUUGGGUUUAAAAAUCUUAGGGUAUGUCUACACUACAGCGCUAAUUCGAACUAAGCUAAU